UACGGAGGGGGCUAGCGUUGUUCGGAAUUACUGGGCGUAAAGCGCACGUAGGCGGACUGGAAAGUCAGAGGUGAAAUCCCAGGGCUCAACCUUGGAACUGACUUUGAAACUCCCGGUCUUGAGGUCGAGAGAGGUGAGUGGAAUUCCGAGUGUAGAGGUGAAAUUCGUAGAUAUUCGGAGGAACAUCAGUGGCGAAGGCGGAUCCCUGGCUCGAUACUGACGCUGAGGUGCGAAAGCGUGGGGAGCAAACAGG
rnacentral:rRNA from 1 species